rnacentral:tRNA from 1 species
UGGGGUGUGGAGCAGCCCGGUAGCUCGCAAGGCUCAUAACCUUGAGGUCGCUGGUUCAAAUCCAGCCGCCCCGAC